rnacentral:rRNA from 1 species
GACGAACGCUGGCGGCGUGCCUAAUACAUGCAAGUUGAGCGAUGAAGAUUGGUGCUUGCACCAAUUUGGAGAGCAGCGAACGGGUGAGUAACGCGUGGGGAAUCUGCCUUUGAGCGGGGGACAACAUUUGGAAACGAAUGCUAAUACCGCAUAACAACUUUAAACAUAAGUUUUAAGUUUGAAAGAUGCAAUUGCAUCACUCAAAGAUGAUCCCGCGUUGUAUUAGCUAGUUGGUGAGGUAAAGGCUCACCAAGGCGAUGAUACAUAGCCGACCUGAGAGGGUGAUCGGCCACAUUGGGACUGAGACACGGCCCAAACUCCUACGGGAGGCAGCAGUAGGGAAUCUUCGGCAAUGGACGAAAGUCUGACCGAGCAACGCCGCGUGAGUGAAGAAGGUUUUCGGAUCGUAAAACUCUGUUGGUAGAGAAGAACGUUGGUGAGAGUGGAAAGCUCAUCAAGUGACGGUAACUACACAGAAAGGGACGGCUAACUACGUG